AUUGAACGCUGGCGGCAGGCCUAACACAUGCAAGUCGAACGAGUGGCGGACGGGUGAGUAAUGUCUGGGAAACUGCCUGAUGGAGGGGGAUCACGAAUGGGAACGGUCGCUAAUACCGCAUACCAUCAGAUGUGCCCAAAUGGGGUUAACUUGUUGGUGGGGUAACGGCUCACCAAGGGGACGAUCCCUAGCUGGUCUGAGAGGAUGACCAGCCACACUGUAACUGAGCCACUGUCCAGACUACUACGGGAGGCAGCAGUGUGGAACAUUGCACAAAGGGCGCUAGCCUGAUGCAGCCAUGCCGCGGGGAUGAAGAAGGCCUUCAGGUUGUAAAGUACUUUAAGCGGGUAGGCGUUACCCACAGAAGAAGCACCGGCUAACUCCGCGCCAGCAGCCGCGGUAAUUC
rnacentral:rRNA from 1 species